GUUUCAGAGCAAAGGCACAUAAGUAUCCUGCUACAGCGCUGCUAACUGAUAUGAUCAAAGUCAUAUAGGAAGAUGCCAAAUCAUUCAUCAAGAACCACAACCCCAAGUUACAGGGAAGAUAAAAUGAAACUGAAACAGCCAGUGGUGGUUCCUGCUUGCCCAGUACAUAGAACAGAAUACUUCAGUGAAGUAUUGAUGUAAACUACUUUUGAAAACAAAGUAAAGUGACACAAGGUCUUCACACAGCCUUUCUGUACCUUUAAACUUGGCUAUUUGGAGCCAUAGGAAUGAUGGAACAAUCUGUAAAAAUAGCAUUUUAAAUAAAAUGUAUUCAAGU
rnacentral:lncRNA from 1 species